UUUUUAAUAUCUAUUCUUUCAUUCUUUUCCAUUAUUCCAAAGUUUUUCUAAUAUACGUCUAGCAAACUGAACCUGUUAUUUACAUAAAUCUAACUCAAUCUAACUUCCAAUAUUUCAAGAUAUCUCUUACGGCUAUUAUUACUCUUGUCUAGACAUAACCUAAAACCUUUCAAAUAUUGACAUAAUUUACAGUCACUAUCUAAAACCAAUAGACAUUUCCAACUUUGACUUUGAGCAAAACGCAAAUUGCCUUCACUUUGAACUUCGUCUAUGUGUACAUACACCGUAUCUUCUCUGCGCAAUCAAAAGAA